rnacentral:rRNA from 1 species
UUGAACGCUGGCGGCAUGCUUUACACAUGCAAGUCGAACGGCAGCGGGGGCUUCGGCCUGCCGGCGAGUGGCGAACGGGUGAGUAAUGCAUCGGAACGUACCCAGUCGUGGGGGAUAACUAAUCGAAAGGUUAGCUAAUACCGCAUACGACCUGAGGGAGAAAGCGGGGGCUCGCAAGACCUCGCGCGAUUGGAGUGGCCGAUAUCUGAUUAGCUAGAUGGUGAGGUAAAGGCUCACCAUGGCGACGAUCAGUAGCUGGUCUGAGAGGAUGAUCAGCCACACUGGGACUGAGACACGGCCCAGACUCCUACGGGAGGCAGCAGUGGGGAAUUUUGGACAAUGGGCGAAAGCCUGAUCCAGCCAUUCCGCGUGAGUGAAGAAGGCCUUCGGGUUGUAAAGCUCUUUCAGGAGGGAAGAAACGGUUACGGAUAAUACCUGUGACUAAUGACGGUACCUUCAGAAGAAGCACCGGCUAACUACGU